GCUGAAGGUGUCAGAGGGUUGCAAGACGUAGGUGACUAGGCCGGGGGUGAGGCCGGGGACGGCUGGGGCAGUGGCGUUGCGGUGGACGGAGGGGCACUGGCAGAAUACGGGGAAGGUGGCCAUGACGCCGAUGGGGAGGUCGGUGGGGAUGAGAGUAGGGUUUGCGGCGAUGACGGCAGGGUAGGCGGUGAGAUUGGCGAGCUUUACGGUGGAGACGGCAUAGAAGGUGUCGCCGGAGGUGAACUGGUAGGCAACGGCGGCGUAGGAGUGGUUGGAGACGGCGCCGCAGGCGCAGUCGAGGGGGAUGAGGAGGGGCUGGCCGGGGCGGAGGGAGGCGGUGGCGGAGAGGUUGCUGGCGCGGGCGAUGGAGAGGCGGCUGACGCCGAAGAGGUCGCCGAUGGAGGAGAGGUCAAGGAGGGAGGGGUCGGCGCCAGCACGGUAGAAGGCGUACGACUGGCAGGGGUAGAUGGAGCGGUCGGCGGAGCAGUUGUA
rnacentral:misc_RNA from 1 species